CACCAGUUGCACCCCCUCCUCUCUCCACUGUGGAAUAAUAGAGCUAAUUUUUGAUUCCAUUAGAGCCUAUCUAGAGAUUGCUGAGCUGAGUUCAUGUUGGGCCAAUGGUGCACCAGCUGCCAGGGCUC